UUAACUUUGCCAAUGGAACAACUUGACAGACUCAAAAAGGUUAAUGUUCCAAGAUUGAUGGCCCUGAAGUGACUUUUAGAGCGUAUAAUUCCUCAAGUCCAGAUAGAAUCUUAUAACACAUUCUUGUGGGUUUAAAGGAGAAAUGCCUCUAGGCCGGAGGGGUGGUUCAGCAGUUAAGAGCCUGUACUGCUUUUGCACAAGAGCCGUUAUGGAACUCCAGUUCCAGGGGAUCUGACACUCUCUUCUGGCUUCCACAGACCCCUGCACUCAUGUACACACACACACACACACACACACAGACUCUCACACUAAAAAUAAAAGCACAAUCUUUAAAAGGAAGAAAUGUUUCAAAAGACUGGGAAGGAAUUCAUUCACAGAGAGGACUCAAGGGGACUGCGCAAGCCGACAGAUGUGUGCAUGGGAGGGGAACAUGCGGGCACACACUUGUAUACUCAAAAAAACACACUCGGGUGUGCAAAUGAUCAGAGUCUGCAUGCUCAGCUGUUCUCACAGGCCCUGCAGCUACCUGCAGUCAGACAACGAGGGAUCCCUUUGAUCAUGGAGGUGAGCUCAGCACAGAGACGGUGACACUGACUGAAGACGCAACACGAGAACCUUCCACUCAAACGGCCUAGACCUGAACCUUACGUCUACCACAUAAGAUAUAAAUGAUGGGGAAGUGCAUUGCCUUCCAGGGCACCACAGGCCUGGAACACAACAUGUGAAUCUUCAUUGCCAUCUUAACAGGAUCUGCAGUCACCUAGUAGAGACACCGUUGGGAGUGGCUAAGGGAGUUUCCAGAGAGGUUUAAUGGUGGAGAAAGGAAAACCCACCCUGGAUGUGAGUGGCAAUCCUGACCAUGGGUGUCAUGUGACCGCAGCCCGCUUGCUUCUGCCGUCACACCUUCCCCACCGGGAUGGACUGCACCUUUAAACGGAGAGCCAACCCGAACCCUUCCUCCCUCAAGUGGCUUUCCCUGGCUAUUUUGUCACAGAAGCCAGAAAAAGUAACUAAUGGAUGCAGGGAUAGGUGGCGUGUCUGUCCACACGAACCUGAGAGCUUCGUGUGCACCUCUCAUCAUUCCCCGCUACCCAGAACCUGGGCCAGUCUCUCCUCCAGCUCUCAUCAGCAAUAGAAAUGUCCUUCUCUUGCUGUGUCUUGACCUGCAGUCCAGCCAGGCCAUUAUUGUCCUUUUAUUAUUUAUUUCUUACUUAUUUCUUCACUUUUAUUUUACUUUUCAAGAAAGGAUUUCUCUGUGUAGCCUUGGCUGUCCUGGGCUCACUUUGUAGAGCAGGCUAGCCUCAAACUCACAGAAAUCCAAAUGCCUCUGCCUCCCAGAGUGCUGGGAUUACAAGCCUGGGCCACUGUACCCAGCUUGGGCCAUCAUUUUCUUAUCCCACAGUAGAACAGAAAACCUGCCAAUGUCCUGCACAGCCCUUAGCUGGAGCCUACAUAGGCCAUUUUUGCCUGAUACCCAUUUCUACGCAUGAGUUAUGCCAGGCUUGUCUUUGGCCUCUUGGCUAAGACACAGCAGCAAUGCAAUCUAAAACCACUCUGCUUUCCCCCAAAUGUCAGGUUCUUUUAAUGCACCAUAAUUCAAUGGGAAAGUUUCAGGCUCGCUGCUUAAAUAUUCUCACCAACUGUGGGUUGACUUUAGACCUUUAAGAUCUGCUGAUAGAAGCUGCCUUUAGGAACCCCAGUUCUUAGGUUCCCUCUUUCUGAGUCUUUCCCCUCCCCCACUCCCUGUUCUUCUCUGAUCCAAUCUUUAUCCUUUCUUUCUUUGGGUUUAAGGCAAAGCUCUAGCCCUGCCCCUUGCUACUCAGCCAGCUAAAUCUUUGAUGUACACAGUGGAAUUUCUGUCUGUCUCAUCAAUACAAGGCCUCACAGGGGUUCCCUGGGCCCUUACUUUAGCUCUUGAUAGCCUCAAGGUGGUGGUAUCCUUGGAGAAGAUGUAUGGCUACAUAGAGGAGGUUUGUGUACCUGUGUCAAAGACCAUCCAAAUAUCUGAUGUGCCUGGCCAGGGGAGGCAGCAGACCCAGCUACCCCUGCCCCUCCUGUGCUUCUGUGAUCUUUGCCAUGUGUGGGUUCCUGGCUUCCUACUCUUCUUGUCCUCCACAAAAAGAAAGAGCAAGAAGGUCUGGAUCCAUGUGAGUCGGGGACCCUCCACCUGAGGGACUGGAAACGGAACGCGUGCUUUGAUUUUUUUUUUCCAGUGUCAGCUCUUAAGUUUUCCAAGAGAGUACAAAAGUUCUUUUGCAGAAACAACAAGUGUGUGCAUAACAGCAAGGAGAGGCAAACCAAGGAGACCAACACCAGAAGGCCUGCUAACGCUCCCAUGCCCGCCCAUUCCUUCAGAUGAUUCAUGGCUGCAGCAAUCCAUGGUGAUAAUCCUGUGGCUAGUCCUGCGUCCACUCUGGUAGAAUUUACUGUGACAAUGGCCACUCUCAGCUGCUCCAUCGUAGUAUCGAAUUCUCCAGUCCAAUUACCUAAAAUAUAGCUCGACAAUUGUUUAGACAGAUUUGCAGCACAGGGAAAAUUCUCAUGUUGUAUGCUAGUGACUCAAAGUCCAGCAUACUUUCAUUGACAGCCCAGUUGAGCGAUUUGCCAUAGGGUAUCAAUUUGCUCCUGCCAUUGAAGCAGGACAGUCUCCCCAAGCAUGGUUGGCUACCAUAAAAAGCUAAAAUGUUACGCUCAGGAUGCGAGGCUAAGCACUGCACUCAGGGUCAACCGCUUUGGACCCAGAGAAGAGCAUGUCUGAUUGCAUGCCGGUUGAUGCCCCAGGUCCCGCCUCUGAGAAAAAGGUAUCGGUCGGGUCUGAUGCUCUUUGGGUGGAUGACACCUAAAUGAACAUCAGUACAAAGUCCCAAUUUAUUUCUAAUAUCAGAGAUCAGACCUCUACUCUUGCCUGAUGUGUCUAAAACAAAAAGGGGGAACUGCAGAGAGCUGCGUAAUGCCGCGCCUUAAAGAUGGAGCUGGUUUCCGCCUUCCACCUUCCCGAUGGUGAGUGCUCUCUGUCACGAACAACUCCACAUUUGGCUAAGGCUGAGGAUCUGGCUUGCUUCCAUGUAUGUGGACCUAUCUGCAUUGCCCACGUGGCAUGCUAGGGUUGGCUACCCAGAGGCUAUUUAAGCUGUGGGCUGGCUUUCCCCAGGGUCAGAUGAUUGUUCAAGGUUCCUGAAUAAACUGCAUUGAAAAAAAAAAAAAAAAAAAAAAAAAGAAUGAUGACCUGGAAGUGAGGCAUGGAAGGCUUUGGGUAGGUGGAGGCAGAGAAUGAGUGAGCCAUGUUCAAGAGCAAGGGAGCCACACUUCUUGGGGUUGAAUCCUGCCACUGGCCUGUAGAAACUAUGGGUUUUGGAGCCUCAAUUUCCCCAUCUGUUCCAUGAAAGUGUGAUUAUACCCACUGUUCAAGUUUUGGAAAUGUUGAACGAUGGAAGGGUUUAGUCAGAGAGCCUGACGCUUAACUUAGGAGGGCAUCCAUGCACAAGAGCCUGUCAGAGCUGGGACCUGAGGCUUGGGCUGCCGACAGUCAUGGUGUAAGCGUGGCAUUCCUGAUAAUUUUAAUGACACCAAUUCUAUCUGCCCACCGAAAACUAUGUGACAUCAGACAUCAUCGCCAGUGUCCACUUGUGGCUGUUUGGCAUGUUCUGGGGGGGGGAACACGGGGAGACAGUUUGCUGUUUCUUGGUACUUCCAAGGCUCCAGAUUGCUCUCAAGAUGAACCACCUCACUGAAAAGAAUGGCUAAUGUCUUUGUAUCACCUUACUCUAUCAGUUCAGAACCUGCUGAUGAGAUAGAGAAGGUGUCUUCCUCUAGACAGGACCUGGAACCCCAGAGAAAUUACACAAAUUAGCAAAAAUACCCAGAGAGGAGUAAUCUGUCUGGUAUUUACUGUGAAACUUGAGACAUUGGUGAUGAAAUCAAUAUUCUGUUUAACAACA